rnacentral:rRNA from 1 species
AAAGGAAUUAGGCAAAUUUCACCCGUACGUUCGCAAUAAGGGGGGCCUCUGGUGGUGAGCUUAAUCGCAAAGCUGCUGGAGGCCGCAGAGAAAUGGCUCUUCCAACUGUUUAACAAAAACACAGGUCUCUGCUAAGUCGAAAGACGAAGUAUAGGGGCUGACGCCUGCCCAGUGCUGGAAGGUUAAGGGGAGAGGUUAGGCGCAAGCCGAAGCUUUGAGCCGAAGCCCCAGUGAACGGCGGCCGUAACAAUAACGGUCCUAAGGUAGCGAAAUUCCUUGUCGGGUAAGGUCCGACCCGCACGAAUGGCGUGAUGAGAGGAGCACUGUCUCAACGAGGGACUCGGCGAACAUUGAAGGACGUGUGAAGAUACACGUGACCCGCAGCGGGACAAAAAGACCCCGUGAAGCUUUACUACAACUUGCCAUUGAGUUAGGGCUAAACCUGUGUAGUAUAGGUGGGAGGCUUUGAAGCUGGGACGCCAGUCUCGGUGGAGCCACCGUUGAAAUACCACCCUGGUUUAUUCUUGGCUCUAACCUGUCGCCGUUAUCCGGCAUGGGAACAGUGGCUGGUGGGUAGUUUGACUGGGGCGGUCGCCUCCGAAAGCGUAACAGAGGCGCCCAAAGGUUCCCUCAGGCUGAAUGGAAACCAGCCGUUGAGUGUAAAGGCACAAGGGGGCUUGACUGCAAGACCAACAAGUCGCGCAGGGACGAAAGUCGGGCUUAGUGAUCCCACGGUUCAGAGUGGAAUGGCCGUGGCUUACCGGAUAAAAGCUACUCCGGGGAUAACAGGGUAGUCUGGUCCAAGAGUUCAUAUCGACGACCAGGUUCGCCACCUCGAUGUCGGCUCAUCACAUCCUGGGGCUGGAUAAGGUCCCAAGGGUUGGGCUGUUCGCCCAUUAAAGUGGUACGUGAGCUGGGUUCAGACCGUCGUGAGACAGGUCGGUCUCUAUCCGCUGUGGGCGUAAGGGAUUUGAGAGAAGCUGCCCCUAGUACGAGAGGACCGGGGUGGACGGACCUCUAGUGUGCCAGUUGUUCUGCCAAGAGCAUUGCUGGGUAGCCACGUCCGGCAGAGAUAACCGCUGAAAGCAUCUAAGUGGGAAACUCGUCUCAAGAUUAGAUCCCUCAUCCGUAUGGAGUAAGACCGCUAGAAGACUACUAGUUUGAUAGGCGGCAGGUGUAAGCGCAGUAAUGUGUUCAGCUUAGCCGUACUAAUGGUCGAGGGCUUACGUU